rnacentral:rRNA from 1 species
CCUACGGGAGGCAGCAGUGGGGAAUAUUGCACAAUGGGGGAAACCCUGAUGCAGCGACGCCGCGUGAGUGAAGAAGGAAUUCGUUAUGUAAAGCUCUAUCAGCAGGGAAGAAAAUGACGGUACCUGAGUAGGAAGCCCCGGCUAAAUACGUGCCAGCGGCCGCGGUAAUACGUAGGGGGCAAGCGUUGUCCGGAUUUACUGGGUGUAAAGGGGGCGUAGACGGGGGUGCAAGUGUGGAGUGAAAGGCGGGGGCUCAACCCCCGCACUGCUCUGGAAACUGUACGGCUGGAGUGCAGGAGAGGUAAGUGGAAUUCCUAGUGUAGCGGUGAAAUGCGUAGAUAUUAGGAGGAACACCAGUGGCGAAGGCGGCUUACUGGACUGUAACUGACGUUGAGGCUCGAAAGCGUGGGGAGCAAACAGGAUUAGAUACCCGGGUAGUC